AGGACGAACGCUGGCGGCGUGCUUAACACAUGCAAGUCGAGCGCUGAAGCCUUUCGGGGUGGAUGAGCGGCGAACGGGUGAGUAACACGUGGGUGACCUGCCCUCUACUCUGGGAUAAGCUUGGGAAACUGGGUCUAAUACCGGAUAUGACUUCAUGCUUCAUGGUGUGGGGUGGAAAGCUCUGUCCUUUUGGGGAUGGUGUGGUGGGGGAUGGGCCCGCGGCCUAUCAGCUUGUUGGUGGGGUGAUGGCCUACCAAGGCUUCGACGGGUAGCCGGCCUGAGAGGGCGUCCGGCCACACUGGGACUGAGACACGGCCCAGACUCCUACGGGAGGCAGCAGUGGGGAAUAUUGCGCAAUGGGCGGAAGCCUGACGCAGCGACGCCGCGUGGGGGAUGACGGCCUUCGGGUUGUAAACCUCUUUCGACCUCGACGAAGCUUUCGGAGUGACGGUAGGGGUGGAAGAAGCACCGGCCAACUACGUGCCAGCAGCCGCGGU
rnacentral:rRNA from 1 species